GACGAACGCUGGCGGCGUGCCUAAUACAUGCAAGUAGAGCGCAGUUGCGAACGGGUGAGUAACGCGUAGGUAACUGCCUGGGAGCGGGGGAUAACUAUUGGAAAUGAUAGCUAAUACCGACUACUACCAGAUGUACCUGCGUUGUAUUAGCUAGUUGUUGAGGUAACGGCUCACCUAGGCAACGAUACAUAGCCGCACUGAGAGGGUGAUCGGCCACACUGGGACUGAGACACGGUCCAGACUCCUACGUGAGGCAGCAGUGGGGAAUAUUGCACAAUGGGCGAAAGCCGGAUGCAGCCAUGCCGCGUGUGUGAAGAAGGCCCUAGGGUUGUAAAGUACUUUCAGUCGGGAGGCGUUACCGACAGAAGAAGCACCGGCUAACUCCGUGCCAGCAGCCGCGGUAAUUC
rnacentral:rRNA from 1 species